CAGUCGCCGCGGUAAAACGAAGGGGGCUAGCGUUGCUCGGAAUGACUGGGCGUAAAGGGCGCGUAGGCGGCGAUCAAAGUCAGGCGUGAAAUUCCUGGGCUCAACCUGGGGGCUGCGUUUGAUACUUGAUUGCCAGAGUGGGGAAGAGGGUCGUGGAAUUCCCAGUGUAGAGGUGAAAUUCGUAGAUAUUGGGAAGAACACCGGUGGCGAAGGCGGCGACCUGGUCCUUUACUGACGCUGAGGCGCGAAAGCGUGGGGAGCAAACAGGAUUAGAUACCCCUGUAGUCCCUGUCUCUUAUAA
rnacentral:rRNA from 1 species